rnacentral:lncRNA from 1 species
UUUGCUUUUGAAUGUAUUGUUAACUAAUAGUAUCUGUUGUCAAUUUUAUUAUGACACAACAUACAAAUCAGAUAAUUCCUUGCAAAAGACUUAUCCUGCUCCACAUUAUGAAGGCUUUUUGAGAUAUCCAACAUCUUCAUCUGCAAUGAGUGCUCUAGUUCCAUCCUCAAUUGCAUUGAGUGUUCCAUCUACAUCUGCAAUAAUUGUUACAUCUUCAGCUGCUACAAGAG